CGCUUUUUAUUACGCUGUAAAUGCAAAAUCCUGCUCAGAACUGAGUAUUUUCAUUGAAAGUUCUGCUUCUUUUUAUUAAAUUCUCCAGAGCUGAGGCUCUUGAUUUCGUUGGAUAAGAACUACUGGUCCCCCAGUUUGAUUCUCAGCCCAGUUCUGGUUCUGUUUUCAACUCCCCAGAGCCCUAGAGCCACUGCCUUGCGAUUGAAGGAUCAAGGUUCAAAUCCCAUCCCCUGCUGUAGUAUCCUGAGUCAAGGUACUUACCCUGAAUUGUAGAUGUAGGUGUUACACACAAACCCAACAUUGUCAGUCACUUUGGAGAGACGCAUCAGUUAAAUGACUUCAUUUAAAACUUAAAAAUUAAACUUAUGGCUGGGUGAGGUUUCACGAAAGUGCAGGUCAUACCUGACACAGAGUGAAACAGCAAUUGCUCACCAAGUAGGAAAGGUAAGCAUGCUCUACUUUAAUUAUACACUGAUCCAAGAAACUAAGCCAAUUCUAACAAUGGAAAAGUAAAAAACAGUACAUUCUUGAGGAAUGCCCGGACUCUAGGAAAGGGCACGAGUCACAGACAUGGGCUCGGGAGACUGGCGCAGCCUGCGUGCGCCCAACCGUGAAGAUCUUGGCUCGCAGGAGCGGGCGGGGCCUGGAGGGCGGCCAGCUGAUCGCUGCAGUGACAAUGCCCCCAAGUGAUGCCCCCCUCACCCCCUACAUCCCCAAGGUGCUCGGAAAACCACAGUAGAGCUGCCAGGUCGAGGCGCACACGCAUAUGGGUCUACUAAAACAAGGCUUCUGUCAGCAGGAGAAAGGUCAGUCAGUCUGCACAACUGUUGUGGAAGGCGGCCCCGGGAAUGAAAUGCUGCCCUCGGUGUCACCCAGGGACCAAUGGAUGCAGAUGUGACCCUGAUGACGGUAAUCCUGAAGCUCCCCAUCCAUGUCUAGGUGUCCUGUGGGGAAGCCCUACACACCCCCUGAUGGCAGCACACAGGGAAAAGGCCUUGAUCUCCAUUGCUUCAUGUGCGAAAGAGGACGCGGGCUGAACCGGCAGCAGAAGAGGGAGGAGAAGCUGCUUUCUGAUCUGCUGCUACUCGGACGCAACGUGAGGCACCUCCGGGGUCAGCGCAUCGCCUGCAUCAAGACCAAUUCAAAACAGGAGAAGUACUUUGACGAAGGCAGUUACAGAAGGAUUCAAACCAACAACCAUCCAGUUAUGAGACAACUGUCCUAA
rnacentral:lncRNA from 1 species